rnacentral:pre_miRNA from 1 species
AGUGUUAUUACCAGGUCAAAUGGUGGUUCCAGUCCAAGUUUUCUGAGGAAUCUCCAUACUGCUUUCCAGAGUGGUUGCACCACUUCGCAGCCCCACCAGUAGU